rnacentral:rRNA from 1 species
GACGAACGCUGGCGGCGUGCUAACACAUGCAAGUCGAACGGUAAGGCCCUUCGGGGUACACGAGUGGCGAACGGGUGAGUAACACGUGGGUGAUCUGCCCUGCACUUCGGGAUAAGCCUGGGAAACUGGGUCUAAUACCGGAUAGGACCACUGCCUGCAUGGGUGGUGGUGGAAAGCUUUUGCGGUGUGGGAUGGGCCCGCGGCCUAUCAGCUUGUUGGUGGGGUGAUGGCCUACCAAGGCGACGACGGGUAGCCGGCCUGAGAGGGUGACCGGCCACACUGGGACUGAGACACGGCCCAGACUCCUACGGGAGGCAGCAGUGGGGAAUAUUGCACAAUGGGCGCAAGCCUGAUGCAGCAACGCCGCGUGAGGGAUGACGGCCUUCGGGUUGUAAACCUCUUUCAGCACCGACGAAGCGCAAGUGACGGUAGGUGCAGAAGAAGGACCGGCCAACUACGUGCCAGCCGCCGCCGUAA